rnacentral:rRNA from 1 species
GACGAACGCUGGCGGCGCGCUUAACACAUGCAAGUCGAGCGAAUCGGCGGACGGGUGAGUAACACGUUAGUAACCUGCCUUAGACAUUGGGAUAGCCUCGGGAAACCGGUAUUAAUACCAAAUGGUCUAAGAUGGACUCGCGUCCCAUUAGCUAGUUGGUGGGUAACGGCCCACCAAGGCGACGAUGGGUAGCCGGGCUGAGAGGGUGAAUGGCCACAUUGGACCUGGGGAACGGCCGAGAGUCUACGGGAGGAAGCAGUGGGGGAUAUUGCACAAUGGGAGAAAGCCUGAUGCAGCGAAGCCGCGUGGGGGAUGAAGGCUUUCGAGUUGUAAACCUCUUUCGCUGUCGAACGGGUAGGUGGAGAAGAAGCGCCGGCUAACUACGUGCCAGCAGCCGCGGUAAUUC